GUUGUAAAGGGAUUAGUGGGGGUCAGAAAAGGAGAGUUAGCAUCUGCAUUGAGAUCCUAACACGCCCUAAACUUCUCUUUCUUGAUGAACCAACUAGUGGACUUGAUAGUGCAGCUUCCUAUUAUGUCAUGAAAAGAAUUGCUACACUUGAUAAAAGAGACGACAUUCACAGAACUGUUAUUGCCUCAAUACAUCAACCUAGCAGUGAAGUUUUUCAACUCUUCAACAACCUUUGUCUUCUAUCUUCAGGUAGAACUGUUUACUUUGGACCUGCUUCGGCUGCAAGUGAGGUUAGGGACUGAACUAACCUUUUUAAUAUACCACUCUUUUGCUCAUUUCUAAUUUUAAGUUUCACUACUAAUUCUGCUUUUGUUCGAUGUAGUUCUUCGCUUCAAAUGGUUUUCCUUGUCCUUCUCUCAUGAAUCCAUCUGAUCAUAUGCUGAAAACCAUAAACACGGAUUUCGAUCAAGUAACUAACUUGACCAUGCUUCCAUAGAAUUGGUGUCUUUUACUGUAGUCAACGAAUAACUAAUUAACACACAAGUAUGGUUGAAUUAUUUAUCAGGACAAUGAGUUAGGAGGGAAUGAAACAAUACCCACCACAGAAGUGAUUCAAAUCCUUGUAAAUUCGUACAAGUCCUCUGAAAUGCACCAAGAUGUUGAGAAAGAAGUAGCAGAACUAACUGAAAAGGUAUCUUUAAUAUGGCUAAGUAGAUCUCAUACCUUGUACCUAAAUUUGGUCAACAGUUAAUUAUAAUUUAUAAAAUAUUAGUGUUAAAUUUUCAUGGGUUAAUUUGCAGGACAGUUGUUCAACAAACAAGAAGAGAAGUCAUGCUGGCUUCCUUAGUCAGUGUUUUGCUCUUACCAAAAGAUCAUCCAUUAACAUGUAUCGUGAUCUCGGCUAUUACUGGUUACGCCUUGGCAUAUAUAUUGCAUUGGCUAUAAGUUUAGCCACUAUUUUCUAUGAUCUGGGUACAAGUCAACGCUCAAUCCAGGUAAUAGAGGAAAAGUAACACAUAAUAUACCACUCAUAUAUAUAUAUAUAUAUAUAUAUAACUUCUAAUGCAGUAUUUGGCUUUAAUUUAGCUAAUUAGUAUCUUCUAAAUCAGAAUUCACUUCUCAUUAUUUCAGGAUAGAGGUUCAUUCCUUAUGUUUGUAUCUUCAUUCAUAACUUUCAUGACCAUUGGCGGAUUCCCUUCCUUUGUGGAGGACAUGAAGGUGAUUCAACCUUUUCUUGUUGUUUUUCAAAUAGAUAAAAGUGAAUUAUAGUAAAGUAUUAAUCUUAAUUACUUCUAAUUUUAGAAGUUCUUAAAGAGUUAAAGUAUCAUUUCAUAGAUAAAGUAGUCUUUCUAUAUAUCUAUUUUCUUACUAAUCAUGUUAUAAUUUUGCCUAACGUGAUAACUAGUGUUGCAUCUUUUAUAAUCUGGCAUAUAUAUUAAGUUCAUCAAAUUAGCAAUUUUGACAGAAAGAUCAAUUUGAUUUAAAAAAAAUGUUAAAAAAUGAAGCUUUUUAAACUUAGUGGAACAAACUGGCAUAAAACAUUUAGAUGAGACAACAAAAUUAUAUUUUUUGUUUUUCUCAAAUUUAUAAACUAGGUUAUUUACUGUCAAAUUCACUUUUUGUUGUCAUUGGUCCUCCAGGUGUUUGAACGUGAGAGACUAAAUGGACAUUACAGUGUGAGUGCAUAUGUGAUUGGGAACACCUUUUCAUCAAUCCCAUUCUUGCUUUUGGUUUCAGUAAUUCCUGGAUCUAUAGCCUAUUACCUUCCAGGUCUUCAGAAAGGCUUUGAACACUUUGUAUAUUUCAUCUGUGUUCUCUUUUCAUGUCUGAUGUUGGUAGAGAGCCUUAUGAUGAUAGUUGCAAGCAUUGUCCCCAACUUUCUAAUGGGCAUCAUAACUGGAGCUGGAAUUCAAGGAAUGAUGAUUUUGGGUGGUGGGUUCUUCAGAUUACCAAGCGAUCUUCCAAGGCCAUUUUGGAAAUACCCAAUGUUCUAUUUUGCAUUCCAUAGAUAUGCGUACCAAGGAUUGUUCAAAAACGAGUUUAUAGGACUGAGAUUCGCUUCAGAUAAUGUCCAAGGUGGCUCCUACGUUACUGGUGAAGAAGUUCUGACAAAUACAUGGCAAGUAAACAUGAGUUACUCAAAGUGGGUUGAUCUUGGAAUCUUGGUGGGGAUGAUUAUUCUGUAUAGAGUUCUCUUCUUGGUUAACAUCAAAACUACUGAGAAGCUGAAGCCAAUCAUUGUAUCGUUCAUGUCAUCAAGAAAUUCUCCCAAGCGAACAGUAUCUAUCAUGCAGAAUCCCAAUGCCACUCCUCUUCAAGAAGUUCAAGUUAUCUAAAGUUAAUGAACCAGGUUCAAGUGUUGGACCAAAAAUAAUUUUCAUAUUCGCAUCAGUAACAUUUUGUAUGACCAGUGCUUUUCAUCUUUCUGCUUCUAAAAUUUAUAUUCAUAAUUAUAAAAAAUGUAUAAGAAAAUGUCUAUCUAAAAGUUAUAUAGUUUCAUUAUGCCACUUCACUCUAUCUAAUACAAUACAUGUACAAAUUAUUUAUUUUUUAUAAUGUGUCCUCUACCCACUUUAACAAAUAUUAAAAUUUGUUUUUCAAUAUCAAUUUUAAUUUUCUUUAACUUCCGAAAAAUACCAUCAGUACUUUUAAGAAUCCCUCUAAGAUUCAGCUCAAAACCCAUAUCAAUCCAUCCAAGAACCUUUCUAUGUUAGCCUAGAACCAUUCCCUAUAACAUACCUAAUGCUAGAUGAAUCCUUUACAAACUAGAAAGAACUUGAAAUUAUCCAAGAAACCCUUUCAUAAAAUCCUCUCUGUCAUUAUCUUUUCUUUACUUUGAAAUUGAAUGAAAGAUUUUCCCUUUCAAGAGUAUUUUAAUAAUUACAAUGAUAUUUAUAAUAUUUACAAUAUUAAUAAUAAUAUUUAUAAUAAUCUUUUUAAUAAUUAACUUCUUCUCCACUUCUCAAUUUGUGACGGAUGAAUUGAACUUUUGGAUAAUGAAUUUUGAUACUGUACUAUCUUAUUCUAUUAUUCAUUUAUAUUAUUUAAUUUAAACUUUUAAUAUGUUGACGAUCUUUCAAUCUAGUUAGUAUAAUAAUAAUAAUAAUUACAAUACUAAUAACAUAAUUAUAAUAACAAAAAUUAUAAUAUAACAACUAAAUAGUCUUAAACUAGGGUUUAGAGGCAUAUGUCAGUUGAUUUGAAUUUAUAACCCAUGACAAAAUGUCAAUAUAAUAUUUAAUAGUUAAUAAUAACUAUAAAUAAAAUAAUAAUAAAUAAUAUUUUUUAAAUAUUAAUAAUAAUAUUAUUAUUUAUUAUUGAUAAAUUUGGAUCCGUCGAUAAAUUAUAAUUUAUUAACAAGUAUAUAAUCAUAUUGGUGUUAUAAUGAUAUCAUUGAAAACUAUUUAGAUCGAUGAUAUUUUCUAGUGAUGUUGUUUUCUGCAUGUUUUUUAUUCAUUUUUAGUAUGUUUUCUUAAGUGAUGGAUUUUCGCAAAAACAAAAGUAAGAUUUAGACAAGUCUAUCUUUUUUGGAGGAUUUUAAAUGAGGUAAAAAUUAGAGUGAGGCAAUGUCUCUCUUCUUAGGAUAGUUUUCACUCUAGUGACAAUUUGGUCACUAAAAUUAAAAUUAUUAAUUAUUUUUAUUUUGUAUGAGUUUCACUCAACACAAUACCAGUUGUUCAAGUAAUAUUUUUGUGAUGAAAAUGCCUAUAAAUGAUAUUUAUGUAUCUGUAUGUAGAUAUCUUUUAUGACAUUGUAUAAUAUUUUUUAAAGUAGAAUAUUAAAAUCAUGUUAUAUAUGAUUUUAUGAUAUACAUAUAUGUUAUAGGAAGAUACAUAGUGAGGUAUUGUGACCCUUGAUUUGGAAGUAAUAAAACAUGAAUUACCUACUCAUAAUUACUUACGAAUUUAGAUUCAUAGAUAAUUUAGAAUUUACACAUGAAUUUUUCUUACAAAUUUGAAUUUAUAAAUUAGGACGGAAACGGUUACAUACAAAUAUUUUUUUAUCUAUAGAAAACCUCCAUAUGUAACAAUUUCUUGUUAAAACUCACGACAAUUACAUACCGAUUUUACUUAUAAAUUUUUUGGCCAAACUAUUUCUUUAUUAUAAAUAAAAAAUUCAUAGAUCUUACCUAUAAAUUAUUAUUAGUAGAUAAAAUUGAAUUAUCUAGAACUAUUACCGACAAAUAUUAUAUAGACAUUACCUACCAAUAUUAAUAUUAUUAUAUUUUUUAUUCUUAUUAUCAAUAAUAAUAAUAUUAUUAUUAUUAUUAUUAAUUAUUAUUAGUAUUACUAAUAUUAUUAUUAUGAUUAUUAGUAUAAUAUUGUUAGUAACAUUAUUAAAAUUAUUAUUAAUAUUUUUAUUAAAAAUAUUAAUAUUAUUAUUGAAAAUAUUAUUAGUAAUAUUAUAAAUACUAUUUUUACAUUAUUAUUAUUAUUAAUAUUAUUUUCAAUAUUAUUAUUAACUAUAUUAACAUUAUAAAUAUUAUUAUUAGUAUUAUAAAUUUAGUAUUAGUAAUAUUAUUAAUGUUAUUAUUAUUGAUAUUGAUAAUAAUAAUAUUAUUAUUGUUAUUAAUAAUUGAUCAUAAUAAUAUUAGUAAUAUUAUCAUUUCUAUUAAUAAUAAUAAAAUUAUUAUUAUUAUUAUGAAAAUAAUAAUAGUUAUAUGAUCAAAAUUUAGUUAGUGUAAUGAUUAAAGAUUUUAUGUGUCUUUAUGAUAUUUGGUUUCGAUUCUCAACAAAUUGUUAUUAAUAAUAGUGAUAAGAUUAAUAGUAUGAUAAAAAUAAUAAUAAUAUUGAAAUUAUUAAUAAGAAUAGAAAUAAGAAUAAUGAUAGAAUAUUAACGUCCGUACAUAAUACCUACAUAUUUAUCCAUAAUGCGUAGUGUGAUUUUUUUUUUCUAUUAACUACGGAUUUCUACUGUAAAUAACUAUAAUUUUUUUAGUGAAAUGACUAUUCUAAAAUUAUAAACAAUAUAUUUAAUUAAUUAUAAGUAAACAUCUUAUGCUAUAUAUGGUAUGCUGCUAUAAUGUCUUUGAAGGAAAGUGAUCAACUUCCAUACUUAAAAAUUUAUUUUGAUAUAUCAAUUUUUCUAAAUGGUUUUUUCAAUACCUUUUUCUUCCACUGUUCCGACAGUGUAUUCAUGAAUCUAUGCAGAUCUGAUAUAAAUGAUCUUUUCCAACCAUACACUUCAGAUCAGACUAGAUAUUCUUAAUGUAUGGCUUAAAUUUUAACUCACCCUAAUCACAUUUAUUGUUUAUUGGAUAAUUCUUUCAAAUUUGUUCUUAUUUUUUUUCCUUGUAUGCUUCAACCUCCUUGUCUAAACAUUAUCCUCAUGUUAUCCAUUAGCUUCUUUUUUUUUAUAAUUUAAGUUUUUUUUUAUCAGCUUAUAAUUUAAGUUAUUGUUUAAGUUGUUUAUAUUUAUACACACACAAAAAGUUAUAUAUAAAUUUAUUGAUUAACAAAUCUAAUUGCAAAAUAAUUUGUAAGUUUUGAAUACUUAUUCACAACUUCUAACCAAACACAUUGAAAAUGGAAUGGUUUGGUCCGAAUUUGUUUAUAAGAUAUAGGAAGGUAUAGUUAUAUUGUUCAUAUUGGUAGUAGAAGGCUUGGCAGGUCUUGUGAGACAAGCUACUAAGGCGAAUCUUCUAUCAGGCCUUAAGAUUGGGAGGAAGAAGGUUGAGGUGAGUAUCUUGCAGUUCGCAGAUGACACCAUGUUCUUCUGUGAGGAUUCCUACUCUAAUGUGGUGACGUUGAAGGCAAUACUCAGGGGUUUUGAGUUAGCUUCAGGUCUGAAGAUAAAUUUUCACAAGUCAAAACUAGCAGGCAUCAAUGUCCAAAGAAACAUCUUAGAUUGCUAUGCUAAGACCCUCAACUGUGCUCAAAUGGGGAUACCUUUCAAGUAUUUGGGCCUUGAAGUAGGAGGGAAUCCCAGGACAAGAAAGUUUUGGGAGCCUAUGCUAAACAAGUUAAAAGACCGACUCAAUGUGUGGAAGGGCAGAUUCCUAUCCAUGGCAGGGAGGGUGUGCUUAAUCAAAUCGGUUCUCUCCUCUGUCCCGCUCUACUACUUAUCUAUGUAUAAAGCACCGGCGUCGAUCUGCAAGAGUAUCACCAGAAUCCAAAGGAGGUUUCUUUGGGGUUGGGGGAAGGAGAAGACGUCUAUCUCUUGGGUAAGGUGGGAAGUUGUGUGCAAAAAUAGAGAGGAGGGUGGUCUGGGUGUGAGAGAGAUUCGAAAGUUUAAUGCAGCUCUUCUGGCUAAAUGGAGGUGGAGAUACAUUUCGGAAGAGAAAGGGAGAUGGAAGGAAUUACUAGAUUCGAAGUAUGGCUCGGAAGUGCAGACUCCGGUCAAACUUCAAUCAUGGUGGUGGAGAGACUUAAACAAAGUAUGUAGGGAGGGUGAAGGUGAAGGGUGGUUUCAUAAAGAAAUUGGAUGGAAGUUAGGAUGUGGAGAUAAAAUUAGGUUCUGGGAGGAUGUGUGGAUUGGUAACGGUAAUCUCAAAACUUUGUUCCCCAGAUUAUUCUCGUUGUCUUUAAAUCAGGGGCACAAGGUGGGAGAGGUAGGGGUGUGGGAAGAGUCGGGGUGGUGUUGGCAGUUAAGGUGGAGACGGGAAAGAUUUGAGUGGGAAUCCGCCCUAGUACAAGAAUUGGAAGUGCUCAUAACUACGACAACCAUUCUCAAAGAAGAGAAGGACGUCCAGGUAUGGGGGAACGAGGAGAAAGGGCGCUUCUCAGUCAAUAAUGCUUACGUGUGUCUAUCUAAACAAGGAAGAGGGCCUCAACUUAAUGUCUUUAAGUCGCUGUGGGAAGCUAAGGCGUUCCCAAGUGCGGUGACUGUAGCGUGGAGAAUUAUGUUGGAUAGACUUCCUACCAGAAUAUGUUUGAGAAGGAGAGGGGUGUUGAUGGAAACAACCUUAUGUGCUCUUUGCCAGACGAAAGAUGAAUCGUGUCAGCACCUAUUUCUGGAUUGUAAAUAUGCUAAUCAAGUGUGGUCUAUGUGCUUCAAUUGGAUUGGUAUGUUGUUCGUUCAACACAAUGAUUUAAUGACGCACUUCGAGAGUUUCAACCUGUUUCAGGUUAGUCAUAGUCAAAACCUGGUUUGGAAAGGGGUGUGGGUAGUGGUAGUCAGGUGUAUUUGGGAUCAGAGGAACUUGGUAGUGUUCAAACAAGGCGUUGUAGAUGCAGAAGAAAUUUUCCAGCAAGCACAAAUUAAAUCUUGGCAAUGGCUGAAACAUAGGUCAAUUUCCUUUAACUAUUCCUUAGUGGAUUGGAUCUUAAAUCCAAUGUGCUGCAUAAAAAGCUGCAAAUAACCAGAUCUUGGUGAUAUGCUCAGUGGAGGAAAGGUGGAGAUGCUGCUAGAGUGGGAAUAAGGCAUUGGUAGUGUGAUGGUUGCAGGGUUUAGAGGCUGCUGAUUAAAGGUUUAGUUUCCAUUGGUCUUGUUUUGUUCUGCAGGUACCGACUGAACUGGCCACCUCAGACAGAUCAGUGGUGAACUGCCCCUGCCAAGCUCAUUGGUUGGAAGCUGUUGUCACAGCCAUUCUUGCGGGAUGGUGCACUUAAUUAACCUAUGGAAGGUUGCAAUGCAACUAGCUACAGUGGGCGGACCUGAGCAAGGAGUUCCUCAGUUGUUGGUGUAAGUGGUUGAAGGCAAAGGCUCUGGCUCUGGAGCACCUGAAGGUCUGUUAUGUGGAAGGAGUUAAGGAGGUGUAAGCAGUACCCUAAGAAGAUAUGGUCAACUGCAAGAAUCAAAUUGCCUAAAGUGUAAAGUGGUAUGGUGAAAUCAAUAUGGUUGCGUGGUAGACAUGUUUUGGCACGGCCUAAGGGAGCCCUAUUCAACUGGUUUUUACUGGUUUGGGGUUCUAGGCCAACCGUCCAUUGGGACGACCUCCCAUCAACUGCAGUACCAAAGGACUUGGUCCUAGAGCAAUUUAUUAUAAAGGGUGUAGGAAGGACGGUGGUAUGGAGGUGCUGAUGGUGGAUUCGCAAGAGUAGAGAGCAGGUAGAAUUAGAGCUAAGCCCCCUAAGGUACAAGGUAGUAAGGAGCUGCUGGAGUACGGUGGCUGUAGUAUCUGAGGUGUGCUGAUGGACUGGAGAAGGGGUUUCGGUCUUUUAACCACGUAGUUUACUGCCUUUGUAGUACGGGCCUAUAUUACCUCUGUGGGAUAAUUUUGUCUGUCAGUCAAGAGAACUUGCUACACUGCGAGGAAGAAUGCUCAUAUAGUGGGGAUGGAAGGGCUGUGUGAUAUGCUACAUGCUAGAUGAACUCAAGUUUUUGGGAACUGAUUCAUUUGAGGAACAGGAGCAGGUUGUGGGUUGAAAUGGUUGGGUCACCUUAAAAGUCAGUUCAGGCUGCAUGUUGAAAUUGGUUUGACCACAAAGAGUAAAAGGCUAGCAGCGUAGGACUUGAAAGAAGAGAAGUUGGUUCUGGUUUUGCUGAUUGGGGUUGUUGGGGUAUGAAGAGGUCUCUUUAAGGGUUCUAAAGUUGUUGAGGAGCCUUGAUUUGAUAAUGGUGGAGUGCUGGUUGACGUGAGGAAAUUGUGAGGCAGGGUUAUAUUACAGCUGGGAUGCUAUGAUGCUUCAUAGGGAGGUGCAUCUCCUAUGAAGAUUGAAUUGGAGAAAAGCUCCACUGGAAAAUCAUGUAGAUUAAGAGCAGGAUGUUAUCUCUUCGUGUAUGUUUGUUAUGUUUUUUGUUAGGAACAAAGCUCAUGGCUUUGGUUGAGCAAUAGAAACCUUCUCUAUGUUUUUAUUCCUUUGGUUGUAAUUGUGCAAUUGAGUUUUGUAUAAGGAUUGGGACACCCCUUAAGUGCCCCCUUUUAUUCAUUCAUUCAUUGCUGAUAAAAAAUAAAUAAAUAAAAAAUGUAAGAUUUACUUAAUGAAAACUUUAGAGUCGGUUGAAUUGCAAGAAUGUUUUUUUAAUUUAUUAAUAAAAAUUAUAUUAAAGGAGAAUGUUUGGAAUACUCUAAUAUUUUUUAUAAAAUAAAACUAUAUACAUAUAAAUUUAAAAUCAAUACGUAUUAGUGAAUUUAAAAUUAAAAAAUGUAAACUCUUAAAAUGUAUUUUCUUCACAUAUUUUUUGAGGUCGAGAGAGAGUAGAGCAGCUUUUAUUGAGUCUUCGUUUAAAUGAAAUCUGUGAUAUAUAAUAGUCAAUAGAAACUAGUUUUCGUUGACAACUGAAUGUUUGGGAAACAAACAAAGCAACGUUUGUUGUGCAACUGCUUCUGCUUUCUCUGCGUGGUUGAACUCAAGCCACACAUAUCACAAUAAUGACACAUAUAUGGUACUCGUGUCCAUUAAUUGUCGAUCUUCACGGUUUAAAACCGGAUCAUGUAUGGCAUCAUAUGGUGGUAGGACCUGUAGUACCUUCUCUAAUUUAUGGUGAGUUUCAUAUGCAAAAAAAUCUUUCUAAGGUGGGGACAGGUAAAUGAUUAGAUAUUGACACAUACGUAUAACACUCGUAUGAUAUGUAUUGGUGAAAUGUCUAAUUCAAAAAUAUUUUUUGGAUUUCUGACCAUUCUAACACGAUUCCAACAUAAUUUUAAAAAGAACAAAUACAUUAAUUUUCCAAAAACUCAAACUUAUUGUAUAAUUUUUUAUUAUAAUUAUGAAAAUAAGAAAUAAAUCCUUUAGAAGCAUCUUUUUAUCACACAAAAAUAACUUUAACAUACUUGUGCACAUAAAUCUUUAUUAUCAAUUUAUAUAAUUUAUAAUUAUAUAAUAUAUAGAUUCGUGUUCCUGUAUCCUACAUUUUUGACAAAGUGUUUGUGUCCAUUUGAUACCAGUAUUCGUGUUAGUGUCUGUGUGUGCAUAGCUGAAAACUUAACAAAUGGAGUAAGAGGUUCGGGUUUGUAAGGAUUUACGACAUUUGAAAUGCUACAAGAAUAGAGAAGUAGCUUGACAACAUUAGAAUUGAGAAUCUGAAGUUGCAUGUCAAUAUUCCAAGGUAUAGAAGGUACGAAAAUCAAAAUUGCCAAAGAUCUCAGAAUUGGGUUACCCACAGUUAUAAACAACAAAAAACUAAGGAAAGUUUGAUAUCGGCAAAUUCAAAACAAAAUAUGCAUUUCGUCUCGAAGGAAAAAAAAGAAGAAAGGAAGAAACACACAUAUGCUGAAGCAUCAAAGAGGGUGACAUUAUCUUCUUCCACGUUGAACUCUUGUAUUGGAGAUCCAACAUCGACCAUCGAUUAGAGACAAAGAUUUUUUUAUAGUACAUAAGUGAAUACAAACCUCAUCUUAUAAGUUCAUUUUAUAAGGUUGAGUUAGACUUAAAGUUCACUACCUAAUUUGGUAUCAGAUUCAUUUAGUGUCUAUCCUAGCAAGAGUUUGUUGGACUUAUCAGACCCUAUCAGAUCACUCGUAAAUAUAUAAUCUCACACACGAGUUGGAGGAUCUCGACGUGAGGCAGGCGCGGUAGACCCUACAUCGAGUAAAGAUAAUUUUUUUUAUUGUAUAUAAGUGAGGUGCAAACCUCACCUUAUAAACUGGUUUUGUAAAGUUGAGUUAGGCUUAAAGUUCACCUCUUAAUAUCUUAAAAAAUAUCAACUAUACAAGCUAAGAAGGAAGUUCUACCGUGGUUGGAAAGUAACUAUGUGAGACGCAUGGAAAGAGUUCUUCAAAGGGGGAAAGAGUAUAAUCAAAAGGAGAUAAUAUGUGAUCAUUGUGUGGAGGAAGUGGUUGAACUUAAUAGAGGAUGGUUUGAGAAUUUUCUUUUAAUCUAUUGUGCCAUGGUCAGAGCAGGAGAUGGCAAAACAUCAUCAAGUAUGGGUAAGAUGCACUCGGGUGCCUCUAUCUGUAUGGAAUAAAGUUUGCUUCAACAAGGUUGUCGAUCACAUUGCGACACUUAUAGGUGUUGAUGAAGCAACGCUUGCCUGGGAAAAUAUUGAAUAUGCGAGACUCAAGAUUAGGAUACCAUUGGGUGAUAGUGCCUUGUUAAAUCAUAAUAUGUUGAUCAGUGGCCAAAUCUAUGCAAUGGGUGUGGAAGAGGACAUGUUAUUUAAUGCCAAUAACGAGUGCCAGAAGGUGGGAACGUGUCAGAUCAACCUUUCUAACAUGUAAACCUACUUAAAUUUGGCUAAUAAUAACAGCCACACAAACAAAAUUAAAUCCAACUACACACUUACAUGGUUAUAAAAUGGAAUAAAUACAAUCACCUUGUCCACACAUUAUUUAAAUAAAAAAAAUACAACAUGUGAAACAUCUAAACUCUGCUUGAUUCCCAAUAUCAUGGUAGAGAAAUAAGGGCAUGGAAACGAAAAGAGUGAUAGACGGGUAUGUUCACACUUUAAAGCUUUACUAAUAGAUUUUCGGACUACAAUAAUGAAUAAAUCCACAAUUUUAAUUAAGAUUCAUCUAAUUGAGUUUAUUUUGGCCUUAACUACUAUUUAUGCUAAUCUUGUAUUUUAGUCGUAGUAGAUGAUCUAAUAUUAAUAUGAAUGAAGUGUCUACCACUACAAGUGGAUCAAAUCACAUGAAAGUUCAAGUUGCUUCUUUGAAUAAUUAUGGAAAACGAAAUCCAUGAAGUCAGGACCAAUUGGGUUGGGCUAACUAAACACCAUGGUGGUGUGCAACAUGACAUAAAUGAAAAUGUAAUAGUUGGCCACCGAACCAAACGUUAAAUCUUGUGUUGUUUAUUUUCUGCAAUUGAUUCGUGAUUAUGUGUGUUGCUUCCGCGUGCGUUUUUUUUCCAUCAAGUGACAUCAGAGCUUGGUUCGUUUAAUCAACGAGACGUGAAAAUUGCGGCUCCAGCGACGUCCCAAAGCUAGGGUUUCGCAGGAGCGGCAGCGGCGUCCCAAAUCUAGGGUUUUGCAGGGGCGGCAACAACAUCCAAAAGCUAGGGUCUCGUAGGGACGACAACAGCGUCCCGAAGCUAGGGUUAUGUGUGCGUUCGGUAGGUGUACUGGUCUGAGACGGCACAGAGUGCAAUGCGACGGUGGUGACCAGCAACGGUGGUGGUGCGGAGCGCGCCAGUGCGGUGCGAAGCACGAAUAGCGGCGGUGCGCGUCGCGUGUCCUGGCAGCUGCGGUCCAGUGCGGCUGAGCGCCAGUGCAGUGGGGAAUGUGACUAGGUCUGUUGGUGAGUGAUUUUGGGUGGUGCAAUAUUUGUGUUCUUGAUUUAAACAAAAAAAAAAGAUUGCCAAGAUCUAAAAUUAGUUAUACCGAGUAUCUCGACUAGUCGUUUGAGAUGGCAAAAGAUGAGAGGUUUCGAAUUGAAAAAUUCGAUGGUACAGAUUUCCGUUGUUGCUGAAAAAUGCAAAUUGAGGAUUUCCUAGUUCAAAAAGAUUUGAACGUGGUUUUGGGUGACAAGCCAGAAAAGAUGUCUAAUUAGCACAACUUGCUAUGUGAUGAAUAUGGUUCUAAUUAGACCUAUUUUGAAGAAAACUACUUAUGAAUUGUUUAAUGGAAGAAAACCCAACAUUGGUCACUUGAAAGUGUUUGGCGGCAAGUGUUACAUUUUGAACAAUGGAAAAGAAAACCUUGACAAGUUUGAUGAAAAAGCAGACGAGGGAAUCUUUCUUGGUUAUUCAUGCAUAUAGUGUGGAUAAUAAGAGACUUAUGACUGUAGAAGAAUCUGUUCAUAUUGUAUUUGAUCAGACUAACCAUGCAGAACAGAAAUCUGUGAAGAAUCGUACAAAGGAAGAUGAUCAGAACAUAACUCUGCCGAAACUGGAGUUAUGCAUUAUAGCUUGUGAUCAAGAAGGUUUCAUUUUCAGGAUCCUCGUAGUAGUUUGGAAAGGAUGCGGGUGGGGGGUUUUUAUCCUGUGAUUCAGACCUAUCAGAUCUAGAACCCAAUCUGUUGGUUUUGGUUUGGUCCAUGGAACCCAAAUCUGGUUUUGGCUUUGCCAUACUCUGGAAUCCAAGUUUGAUUAAAUCAGGGCAGUUGUGAUGAUAUUGCAGGAUCACUAGGUUUUAUGGAGAUUUUUUCUGGUUUUUAGCAGUUUUAUCUGCUGUAAAUGGUGAGGGUUUUGCUGGUUCUGAGGCAUGUUACCAUGCCACAUCCAAAGUGUUUCAAAACAGUAGGGAGCAGUCUAUUCCUUGGUUUUAUGCAAGAUUGUGAGUGCAUGGAAAGACACUUGUGGAACAUAAAGGAAACCAAACCCUUUACCAACUAAGCUUCUGGAAUUGCUUGCGGAACAAGCCAGGGAGUAAGCAUGGCAGCAAGGGCUUUUGAUUCAGAAAAUGCCGACACAUGAUGUGGAAACUUCAGAGCUUCAUAAUGAUGUUGCAUAAUUGUAGUACAAUUGAUGCAUAGUAUUGAGGUACUAGGUGGUUCAUAAGCAAUGGUAUACGAUAAUGGUUAUGUAAGCCAAGAAAAGGGGGUCAAGGUUGAUGCAGGUGUAGGGCUAGUCUGACCAGAGCCUAUGCAGAUUUUUAAAGCUGCAGGUUCAUUAUGUUCUGUUUUUGCUAGUGCUUUUUUUGCAGUCAAUUAUGCAACAUUCAUCUAGUUAUGCAGCUGAUGUAAAUGUUGUAGAGGGUUAGUUUUAGCUUUUUGUGUGUGGCAGGAAGUUUAAAAAAAUUAUUUCUAUAGAGGUCAGACCCUCUUAUUACGUGUAUAUCCUAUAUUUAUUAUAUUCUUCGUCGAUAAAAUAAAUAAAUAAAAGAUAUAAAAGAAAUGAGUGUUUAUUGUUAAAAAUAAUAGAAGUUCCUUAAUAUAAAGUGAAAUAUUAAUUCAACCAACAAAAAAAAGACUCAUUUAAGUAAGCUAUAUAUAUAUAUAUAUAUAUAUUAUAAACGCUCGAAGGCCACAAAAAAAACCAUGUACUAGACUUUUUGGUUCACAUUUGUGUCCAGGUGUCUAUCAAUCAUGAAAAAUCAACAAGAUACAUCAUAUGUUCGGUGCGACAUCAUAUCAAAGGGCUCCACCGUAGAAGUAUAUUUUGUGGUUCAAAAAUAGCCUCUCUUCCCCCUCAUUUAUUAUUUGACCUAAUCUCCAAAAUCUUGGAGGAAAAAUAUCAAUAUGAAGCAGUGUUUAAAUGUGAAACUCGUAUUUAAAUAUGAAACAUGUGUUAAAUUAGCACACAGUAAAUCCAUGCAUCUUUAUUAUGUCUAUAUAUGAGUUCACAGACCCUCCAUUGCAGCUGUGACAUUUUAAAAUGGAUAGCAUUGGUGAUGAAUCUGUUUCACCUGCUGCUAGACGUGUGAUGAACAUUGAAGCCUCCACUCUAGAAGUGGAAGCAACAAAGAUGAAUGGUGGAAGUGAGGGUGUCUGCUUGACAUGGAAGGAUGUGUGGGUGACUGCUUCCAACAGAAACAAUGGAAGCAAAUCAAUUCUUGAGGGUCUCACUGGUUAUGCUAAACCAGGGCAACUCUUGGCAAUAAUGGGUCCCUCUGGCUGUGGUAAAUCUACUCUGCUUGAUACUUUAGCAGGUAAACUUCUAAUUAAUCUCCAUCACUUUUCAUCCCUUAUAUAUUUUACUAAAUACUUUGUCUAAAGUUUUUUGGAAGUUUUCUAUAUGUCCUAGAUUCUUUUACCAAAUACAUAAGUAAUAUACCAAUAACAACCUUUUUAUAUGACAAGUUUAUUAACUUAUAUUAAUAUAACUACUUUAAAAUUUAUACCAAGAAUAAUUCUUUUGUUAAAUGCUCUAAAGUAAAACUUUUUUUUACUCACCACGUUUAUUGAAUUAAAAACAAAUUCAAUGUCUGGAUAGUCACCAAUUACUACUUUUUCUAUUUUUAAAACAUAGCUCCAUGUUAUGAUUCUCUUAAACCUUAACGUAAAAAUAUUGAUAGUCGCUUAAAACUUAAGAGUAAAAUCAUAAUUAUAUACUAUUUUGCCUCCUUUAACGUGUUUUUUUCACUUUAAAGAGAAAAUUAAAGAAUUUUAACUAUUGAAGAAAAAAUAUUUAAUAAUACAUACAUAAAAGAAAUAAAUUUAUUAAGUUUUAACUGGUGGAAUUCCAUACUUUAUAAUAUAUAUAUAUAUAUAUAUAUAUAUAUAUAUAUGUGUGUGUGUGUGUGUGUGUGUGAAGUAUUAUGCACUUUUCAAACGUUAGAUUUGAAAAUAGACUAGUAAGGACUAAAAUACAAGUACUAGAAAUUUCUAUAUUCCAACAAAUGGUUCUGUGGAGGAAAAUAAUCAAGGGUCUUCGGCCAUCCCUUUUUCCAAAAUAGACUACAUUAAUAAUAUUAGUACAAUAUUAGUGAUAAUAAUAAUGAUGAUAAUAAUAAUAAUUAAUAUACAAAAAUUUACAUACAAAAUGUGUGUAUUAUGUAAUAACUAAGAUUAUUAUUUAUAGUUACAAUCAGUAUAUAAUGACUAGAUAUAUUAUUAUUAUUUUUUAUUAUUUCAAAAUCAUACAUGAUAAAAAAAAUAGUUUUAAUUCUCCUGUUUACAAAAUUAAACCAAUAUUAAUUGGGAGAUCAGAGGGAGAAUUAAAGGAAUAUAAAACACUUUUCCUACUCUUCUUUGUCACUAUAGAGGUUUGAACAAAUUAAAUGAUGGUAUAAAUUCUUAUUUCAGGGAGAUUAGGUUCAAAGAUGAGGCAAACCGGGGAGAUUCUGAUCAAUGGACACAAACAAAUAUUGACUUAUGGAACCUCAGUAUGUACAAAAUCUUACUUUCAUCAUCAAGAUCACUAAUAACUACUUAAUUUCAAGAUACACAUGAUGAAUUAAACAUUCUUUGAAUCCAUGUUGUGAACACAGGCAUAUGUGACACAAGAUGAUACCUUGUUGACAACCUUAACGGUUGGAGAAGCAGUGCACUAUUCUGCUCAACUCCAGUUACCUGACACCAUGUCAAAACAAGAGAAGAAAGAGAGAGCAGACUUUACAAUAAGAGAAAUGGGUCUUCAAGAUGCCAUUAACACAAGAAUUGGAGGAUGGGGUUGUAAAGGGAUCAGUGGGGGUCAGAAAAGGAGAGUUAGCAUCUGCAUUGAGAUCCUAACACGCCCUAAACUUCUCUUUCUUGAUGAACCAACUAGUGGACUUGAUAGUGCAGCUUCCUAUUAUGUUAUGAAAAGAAUCGCUUCCCUUGCUCAAAAUGACCACAUUAAGAGGACUGUUAUUGCUUCAAUCCAUCAACCCAGUAGUGAAGUUUUUCAACUCUUCAAUAACCUUUGUCUUUUGUCUUCGGGUAAAACAGUUUACUUUGGACCUGCUUCUGCUGCA
rnacentral:lncRNA from 1 species